rnacentral:lncRNA from 1 species
CCAUUUCCCCCCCCAUCCCCGCUCCAUUUUAUCCCAUUUUACCCAAUUGUGUCCAAAUUUUUCACAUUCCACCUGUUCACCCCCAUUUUUCCCAAUUUCCCCCCAUUUCUCCCCCUUUUGCCGCAUGCCAACCCUUUUAAAUCCCAUUUUUCCCCAACCCCGUCCCAUUUUCCUCAUUUUCUCGGUUUCCCUCCCAUUUUCCCCAGGUUUUUUCUCAUUUCUCUCAGUUUUUUCCCAGUUUCCCCCACCAUUUUACCUCCUCGUUUUCCCCAAUUUUCCCCCCAUUUCCCAAUUCCCUCUCAUUUUUCCCAGUUUUCCCCCCAUUUUCCCCAAUUUUCCCCCUGUUUUCCUUGUUUCCUCCCCAUUUCUCCCAAUCCUAUCCCAUUCUCCCUCCCCAUUUUACGAAUUUUCCCCUCAUUUUCCCAAAUUUUCCAUCACUGUCCCCAUUUUUCCCCUCAUUUCUCCCCUCAUCUUCCCCGUCCCCCUCCCACUUUUUCCCUCAUUUUCCCCUUUUUUUCCCAUUUCCCCCCAUUUUUUCCCAAUCCCAUCCCAUUUUUCCCCUUCCAGCCCCACUUUCCCUCCCCCUCACCCCCAAAAAUCGCUGUUUUUCCCCCCAAAUCCCCUCAGGGAAUUCCCGGAGGAUUCCGACUCCGGCAGCGACUUCGAGGCCUCUCUGCGCCCUCGGAGCAAGCGGGGCCGGCCCCGAGGAGCCGCCAGGAGCCCCGUGAGUCCCAAAAUUCCCUUUUUUCCGGGGGAUUUCCACCCGUUUCCCCCGGUUUUUGUUGAUUUUUCCCGAUUUUCCCCGCUUUUCCCCCGUUUUCCCCUCAGGCCCCGAAGCGCUCCCGCCUCUCCCGCGGGGAUGGGGCCGAGCCGGAGCGGAAUUCCCUGGAGCAGAAUUCCCUCUUCGAGGCCGUUUUUUCGGGAAAAGCGGCCACGGAGACCCUGGUGGACGAGUGGCUGGAGUGGUACCGGCGGGACCGGGAGGGCGCCUUCCUGGAGCUGCUCAACUUCACCGUGCGCUCCUGCGGCUGCCGGGGUGAGAAACGGGGUGAAAAAUGGCGAAAUCGGGAAAAAUGGGGGGAAAAAAUGGGAUAAAUUAGGAAAAAAAUGGGGGGAAAAAGGGGAAAAUGGGGG